rnacentral:rRNA from 1 species
UACAGAGGUCUCAAGCGUUGUUCGGAUUCAUUGGGCGUAAAGGGUGCGUAGGCGGCGCGGUAAGUCGGGUGUGAAAUCUCGGGGCUUAACUCCGAAACUGCAUUCGAUACUGCCGUGCUUGAGGACUGGAGAGGAGACUGGAAUUUACGGUGUAGCGGUGAAAUGCGUAGAUAUCGUAAGGAAGACCAGUGGCGAAGGCGGGUCUCUGGACAGUUCCUGACGCUGAGGCACGAAGGUCAGGGGAGCGAACAGG